CAUGUCAAAAGAUUGAAUGUUACGCAAAGGUCUGAGCAGAGGGCGCUGCUAGCACAUGCAGUAAAUAAUCCGACCAAAAUCCGACAUG